rfam:Musa acuminata subsp. malaccensis Doubled-haploid Pahang (DH-Pahang) genomic chromosome, chr11
GGGCCAGAUGAUGAUAAUGGAUUUUACAUCUCACGACGGUCAUCUGAGAUGCUUUUAACAGUGUCUAGGUCGAUGCAAAUCCUAUUGCUGAUGGCU